GUGCCAGCCGCCGCGGUAAUACGUAGGUGGCAAGCGUUGUCCGGAUUUAUUGGGCGUAAAGCGAGCGCAGGCGCUUUCUUAAGUCUGAUGUGAAAGCCCCCGGGUCAACCGGGGAGGGUCAUUGGAAACUGGGAGACUUGUGUGCAGAAGAGGAGAGUGUAUUCCAUGUGUAGCGGAGAAAUGCGUAGAGAUGUGGAGGAACACCAGUGGCGAAGGCGACUCUCUGGUCUGUAACUGACGCUGAGGAGCGAAAGCGUGGGGAGCGAACAGGAUUAGAUACCCCGGUAGUCC
rnacentral:rRNA from 1 species